rnacentral:tRNA from 1 species
UGUGGUGUGGCUCAGUAGUAGAGUGCUUGCCUAGUAUGUGUGAGGCACUAGGUUUAAUCCUCAGCACCACAU